rnacentral:lncRNA from 11 species
AUUACUUUAUAAUAUCAAGAUUAUAUGUACAUACAAUAGCAUAAUAUAAGCAUAUAUUACUAUAUUGUACUAGAUCACUAUAUUGCAAUAUUAUUAGUAAUAUUACAUGGAAUAUAUAUAAUUAUAAUAGUGUAUUAUUAUAAUAUUGUAUUACAUUAUGUCAAGAUUAUAUGUACAUACUAUAUAUUAUUAGCAUAGCAUAAUAUAAGCAUAUAUUACUAUAUUGUACUAGACCACUACAUUGCAAUAUUAUUAGUAUAUUACAUGUAGUAUAAAUAUACAAUUAUAAUAGUGUAUUAUUAUGUAUUACAUUAUCAAUAUUAUAUGUAUAUACAAUAUAUUAUUAGUAUAGCAUUAGGGUUGGAAAAGUUAUAUUGUAGUUCUCAUCAGCUCCUGUUAUGGUUAGUGGUCAGUGAUUUAUGAGUAUCUGGAAGGUUUUUCCAUCUCUGUAGUGCAUAAUUUGUUACAUAUAUGUCUGGAAAACCUAUUCCAUAAGUGGUUUACCAUUUGAAGUGUAUAACCCUAGAUUUAGUUCAUAAAAUUAUUAAAUUCCUUGAAGUAGGCAGUGCUGAGAUCAAGGAGCAGCCAAUAGUCUCAGACAUGGAGUCUUAACAUAGAAACCAGCUGUUUGUGUGAUGCUUUUUUAUCAGCUAUGCAGGUGCAGAGAGUUUGUAAACUGUAAUCUGGAUAGAUUUCAGUUCCUGUGACCAAUUUAAAUGCAAUUGAAGGAUAUUAGGUUGCAAAAGUUCUGCUGAAAAUAAAUAUAUAGUGGAUGAGAGGUGCCAAAGAAUGCUGAUACCUAAUUACAAGGCCCAGGAGUUCAUAGCAUUGAGCCAUAGCUGUUGAUGCCAAACUGGAUCAAUCCCACAGUGUAGAUGCAACCUAUAAGGGGAAGGGAAUUACCAGAUGAACCAAUUAAAAGGCUGACAUUGCAUUCUGGCUCUGAUUGGCUGGCUAGUUAGUACAAAUGGCUCCUAAUACUACUGGUUUCUUGCAGAUGUGUAGAAGCAAUAUAUAUUGUAAAGCUUUUUCUUUGGACCAUACGUAUUUUCUCCGUCGCAGUAAUACAGAGAUCAAGAUGGCAAGCCGCCCUGUUGAGGAGCAAAACUUACUCACUCAGCCAACUCCUGUUACAAAUACUUUAGCGCAGGAUGCCAUUUCCGAAGUCUCGGAGACCCGACAUGACGCCAACCCUGUGAUUCACAAUAGGCUGGAGAGCCAAAGAGUCAUCCAGACGCCUCUGCGGAGCCAGAAAGAGAAGGAGAGCAUCGAAGAAAGGCUCCAGGUGUAUUGCUACCUGCCCAAGAGGAGGGAGCCCCUUGGCUUCUAUAUGUCCCGCUCGAUCCCUUCCAAAGUGGAUUGUUUCCGAAAAAAGAGGCCCACGGAGGCCGGCCAGGACAACUUUCAAAGUUCUGCACCGUGAUCUGAACCCACCACACUUUUCCAUUCGUGAUAACUACGAAUACAAGAACUACGCUUUAUCUCAGCACUGCUGCUCCGAAGCUUGGUAAUUGCAUUUGGGAGCAUCCAAUGCAGCACUUCACUUUUGGCAUCCAGGUUGCUGUCACUCCUCUCAUAUCCGGCCUCUGAAUCCUGCUCUUAAAAACGAAUGAUAAAUAGUUCUAAUUCCACAGGGAGUGAAAGAGAGAAGCAUCUUUCUCCUUCUGUUAGAAAAAAGUAUUCCACUUUGGCAUGUAUUGUGUGGUAUGGAAUAUUUCUUGAGCUUUAACAAUGAUUUUUGUAAUAAAUGAUAUGAAAAACAUUGAGACUUCUCUCCGACUUUUGGGAGGGAAUAAUUGCCAAAGUUUCCAUGUUGUAUUUUUGUAGGUGUUUAUACCACAUUUCUAUGACCAUUCAUUCAUUCAGUUGACCAUUUCCACUACCUUAACAACCACAUUGACACUGAAAUAUAACACCGCCUGAGCUCUGCGAGUGCAGCAUUUUUCCAAAUGAAGCAGAGAGUCUUGAGGAUCGGGACAUCCACAGAGAUACCAAGGGGCUUGUUUAUAAAGCUAUUCCCCUCCCAACCCUGUUAUAUUCCUGCGAAACAUGGACUGUGUACAGACGUCGCACUCAACUCUUGGAGUGAUUCCAUCAGCAUUGCCUUCGGAAAAUCCUGCCAAUCUCUUGGGAAGACAGGCGGACAAAUGUCAGCGUGCUGGAAGAAGCAAAGACCACUAGUAUUGAAGCGAUGCUCCUAUGCCAUCAACUCUGCUGGACUGAAAGCCACGUUGUCUGAAUGCCCAAAGAUCACAGUCUCCCAAAGCAGUUACUAUACUGCCAACUCAAGAAUGGAAAACAAUGUUGGUGGACAGGAAAAGAGAUUGAAAGAUGGGCUUAAAACCAACCUCAAAAACUAUGGAAUAAACACUGGGUAACCCUUGAGUGUUCUAACUGGAGGUCAGCUGUGACCAGCAGUGCUGUGGAAUUUGAAGAGGAAGGGCAUCCACCGCCAAGACACUACACUUGGAGGAUCAUCUUCGAGCUACGAAGGAUCGUCUAAGUAAGAGGUCUUAAUUAUCAUUAAGAUAAUUCAAUAAUGAUAAUAAAAGAUAUAUAUGUAUUUAUA